CCUACGGGUGGCUGCAGUGGGGAAUCUUGCGCAAUGGCCGAAAGGCUGACGCAGCGACGCCGCGUGGAGGAUGACGCCCUUCGGGGUGUAAACUCCUGUUGCCCGGGACGAAUGCCUGUUUCGACAGGAGUGACGGUACCGGGUGAGGAAGCACCGGCUAACUCUGUGCCAGCAGCCGCGGUAAUACAGAGGGUGCGAGCGUUGUCCGGAAUCACUGGGCGUAAAGGGGGCGUCGGGGGCGCGGUAAGGGGACAGUCCGGGGCUCAACCCCGGAUCGGCCAUGCGAACUGCCGCGCUGGAGCACGGUAGAGGCACAUGGAAUUCCGGGUGUAGCGGUGGAAUGCGUAGAGAUCCGGAAGAACACCGGUGGCGAAGGCGGUGUGCUGGGCCGUUGCUGACACUGAGGCGCGACAGCGUGGGGAGCAAACAGGAUUAGAUACCCCUGUAGUC
rnacentral:rRNA from 1 species